GAUGAACGCUAGCGGCAGGCUUAAUACAUGCAAGUCAAGGGGGUAGCAAUACAACCGGCGCACGGGUGAGUAACGCAUACACAACAUACCAUAUACUGGAGUAUAGCUUUGGGAAACUGAAGGUAAUCCUCCAUAACAUUGCGAGAGGGCAUCUGAUUGCAAUUAAAGUUCCGGCGGUAUAUGAUUGGUGUGCGUUUGAUUAGCUAGUUGGUAGGGUAACGGCCUACCAAGGCGACGAUCAAUAGCUGGCGUGAGAGCGCGACCAGCCACACUGGAACUGAGACACGGUCCAGACUCCUACGGGAGGCAGCAGUAGGGAAUAUUGGACAAUGGGCGAAAGCCUGAUCCAGCCAUGCCGCGUGAUAGAUGAAGGCCCUCUGGGUUGUAAAUAUCUUUUAUCUGGGAAGAAACUCCUCUAUUCUUAGAGGCCUGACGGUACCAGAGGAAUAAGCACCGGCUAACUCCGUGCCAGCAGCCGCGGUAAAG
rnacentral:rRNA from 1 species